GGUUAAGUUAGAAAGGGCGCACGGUGGAUGCCUUGGCACUAGGAGCCGAAGAAGGACGGGACUAACACCGAUAUGCUUUGGGGAGCUGUACGUAAGCGUUGAUCCAGAGAUUUCCGAAUGGGGGAACCCACUAUCUUUAGUCGGAUAGUAUCCUUACGUGAAUACAUAGCGUGAGGAAGGCAGACCCAGGGAACUGAAACAUCUAAGUACCUGGAGGAAGAGAAAGAAAAAUCGAUUUCCUGAGUAGCGGCGAGCGAAACGGAAAGAGCCCAAACCAAGAAGCUUGCUUCUUGGGGUUGUAGGACACUCUAUACGGAGUUACAAAAGAAAGUUAUAAAUGAAGCGGUCUGGAAAGGCCCGCCAAAGACGGUAACAGCCCGGUAGUUGAAAUGGCUUUCCCUCCAGAGUGGAUCCUGAGUACGGCGGAACACGUGAAAUUCCGUCGGAAUCCGGGAGGACCAUCUCCCAAGGCUAAAUACUCCCUAGUGACCGAUAGUGAACCAGUACCGUGAGGGAAAGGUGAAAAGCACCCCGGAAGGGGAGUGAAACAGUUCCUGAAACCGUGUGCCUACAAGUAGUUAGAGCCCGUUAAUGGGUGAUAGCGUGCCUUUUGUAGAAUGAACCGGCGAGUUACGAUUUGUUGCAAGGUUAAGCGGAAAAAGCGGAGCCGUAGCGAAAGCGAGUCUGAAUAGGGCGCAUAAGUAACAGGUCGUAGACCCGAAACCAGGUGAUCUACCCAUGUCCAGGAUGAAGGUAAGGUAAUACUUACUGGAGGUCCGAACCCACGCACGUUGAAAAGUGCGGGGAUGAGGUGUGGGUAGCGGAGAAAUUCCAAUCGAACUUGGAGAUAGCUGGUUCUCUCCGAAAUAGCUUUAGGGCUAGCCUCGAGGUAAAGAGUCAUGGAGGUAGAGCACUGUUUGGACUAGGGGCCCUUCUCGGGUUACCGAAUUCAGAUAAACUCCGAAUGCCAUGUACUUAUACUCGGGAGUCAGACUGCGAGUGAUAAGAUCCGUAGUCGAAAGGGAAACAGCCCAGACCACCAGUUAAGGUCCCCAAAUAUAUGUUAAGUGGAAAAGGAUGUGGGGUUGCUUAGACAACCAGGAUGUUGGCUUAGAAGCAGCCACCAUUGAAAGAGUGCGUAAUAGCUCACUGGUCGAGUGACCCCGCGCCGAAAAUGUACCGGGGCUAAACAUAUUACCGAAACUGUGGAUGAACCUCUUCGGAGGUUCGUGGUAGGAGAGCGUUCUAAGGGCGGUGAAGUCAGACCGGAAGGACUGGUGGAGCGCUUAGAAGUGAGAAUGCCGGUAUGAGUAGCGAAAGAAGGGUGAGAAUCCCUUCCACCGAAUAUCUAAGGUUUCCUGAGGAAGGCUCGUCCGCUCAGGGUUAGUCGGGACCUAAGCCGAGGCCGAUAGGCGUAGGCGAUGGACAACAGGUAGAGAUUCCUGUACCAGUGCUAAUUGUUUAACCGAUGGGGUGACACAGAAGGAUAGGGAAUCGCACGAAUGGAAAUGUGCGUCCAAGCAGUGAGUGUGAGAAGUAGGCAAAUCCGCUUCUUGCGAAGCAUGAGCUGUGAUGGGGAAGGAAAUUAAGUACGGAAGUUCCUGAUUUCACGCUGUCAAGAAAAGCCUCUAGGAAGAGUAGUACUGCCCGUACCGCAAACCGACACAGGUAGAUGAGGAGAGAAUCCUAAGGUGAGCGAGAGAACUCUCGUUAAGGAACUCGGCAAAAUGACCCCGUAACUUCGGGAGAA
rnacentral:rRNA from 1 species